UUUACGGUUAUCUUUAGCCAGCAGCUUUAGAUAGGAUUCUACAUCGCCCGCUCUGGCCCCAGGGAUGCACACGACUGCAGCCGCUGGAGCCGCCAACUUCACGUUCCGCAGUAUAGAGCUCCCAAUAACCAGUUGGCUUCUCAGCGGGUGUAUCACUGAGUGGGGAGAAACUGUUAGAAAGGCGAAGAUGCCCAGAUUUGGACUGACAACUGCUAU